rnacentral:rRNA from 1 species
CACGUAGGGCGCAAGCGUUGUCCGGAAUCACUGGGCGUAAAGCGUCUGUAGGUGGUCAAAUAAGUCAACUGUUAAAUCUUGAGGCUUAACCUCAAAAUCGCAGUCGAAACUAUUAGACUAGAGUAUAGUAGGGGUAAAGGGAAUUUCCAGUGGAGCGGUGAAAUGCGUAGAGAUUGGAAAGAACACCGAUGGCGAAGGCACUUUACUGGGCUAUUACUAACACUCAGAGACGAAAGCUAGGGUAGCAAAUGGG